CCUACGGGAGGCAGCAGUGGGGAAUAUUGCACAAUGGGGGAAACCCUGAUGCAGCGACGCCGCGUGAGUGAAGAAGUAUUUCGGUAUGUAAAGCUCUAUCUGCAGGGAAGAAAAUGACGGUACCUGAUUAAGAAACCCCGGCUAACUACGUGCCAGCAGCCGCGGUAAUACGUAGGGGGCAAGCGUAAUACGGAUUUACUGGGGGUAAAGGGGGGGUAGACGGCAGCACAAGUCCGGAGUGAAAUGCAGGGGCUUAACCCCGGAACUGCUUUGGAAACUGUUCAGCUAGAGUGCAGGAGAGGUAAGUGGAAUUCCUAGUGUAGCGGUGAAAUGCGUAGAUAUUAGGAGGAACACCAGUGGCGAAGGCGGCUUACUGGACUGUAACUGACGUUGAGGCUCGAAAGCGUGGGGAGCAAACAGGAUUAGAUACCCGGGUAGUC
rnacentral:rRNA from 1 species